rnacentral:rRNA from 1 species
ACGCUCGACACCUACGGGAGGCAGCGAGUGGGGAAUAUUGCACAAUGGAGGAAACUCUGAUGCAGCGAUGCCGCGUGAGGGAAGAAGGUUUUCGGAUUGUAAACCUCUGUCUUUGGGGACGAUAAUGACGGUACCCAAGGAGGAAGCUCCGGCUAACUACGUGCCAACAGCCGCGGUAAUCUGAGCGGGCUGGCAAGGC